GGGGGGUCAGCCUCAAUGGUAUUAUUUUCAGUUGUGAAUUAUCAAAUGAUUAUCUUGCUCAUUUGAUUUAAAAUCAAUAUCAGUAUUGGUAUUAUAGUCAAAUGGACAAAUUUGGUGACAAAGAAGAUCUGCUGUGAGCAAGGGUUUGCUGUGACUACCUCCUUGGUGAAAGAAUGCUAUGUCAUUGUUUAGUAUGAAUCUAACACAGAAAAUACAUUAAUUCCCUCUCAGUUCAAUUAAAUAUAGGCAAAUGUUUGUUAAAUAAAUAGUUAUGGAGAACAAUUCGUAUUUUUGGCACAUUGAUAAUAUUUUUGUAAAAUAGAGUUAAUAUCACAAAGGAGGUCUGCUCAAUGAUUUAUAGCCUUAUAUCCAUGACAUUGUUUUGUCUUGUCAGGGACAUUUAGAACAAUUUACUUCAACACUUGUUGGCCUACUUGAGCUCAUUGUUUGUCCUUCCAGUUCCAGGUAGUCAUAUUGGCCCUUGUUCUUCAUAACAUUGAAAGGCAUCCAAAUUGAAAGUGUCUCAAUGUUUAGGCUAUUCAUGUUGCUAUAUGCCAAAAAUGAAUUAAUCUUUGCCCUAAUGGGUUUUUAAUAGUUGCGCAUCAUAAAACGCACACCAAGGCCUAUUUUAAGUGUUGAUUGUGUUGUAAUGCACCUCAAAAAGACAAAAUAACAGAAACACGUUUGAAAAUAGAUGUUUUUUUAUUUCCUAUGUGGAUCUCUUGAUGGUUAGUAGUUGAUAAUGUUUGGCUGAGUACAGAUAGCACGUACUUCUGAGCCAUUAUCGGGUAACCAGAGAAAACAACGUUGUGGUCACCCUCUGUCCCUCUUGCUUGUCACCAAAAUUGACGUCAUUCUCUCCGUUUGCUGAGCUUUCGCUGUUACAAUGUAACAGUUGUAUAAAGUUGUCCCUUGAUCGCAAGUUGGUGUGCCGUUGUUGCUUGGAUCCUCAUGGUGCUGGGGGCCAGGGCAGUGAUCUCCUUCUGCAUACGGUCAGCAAUACCAGGGUACAUCGUGGUACCGCCGGAAAGCACAUUGUUGGCGUACAGGUCCUUACGGAUGUCAAUGUCGCACUUCAUGAUGCUGUUGUAGGCAGUCUCAUGAAUACCAGCGGACUCCAUACCUGUGCAGGAAGGAAGGCUGGAAGAGGGUCUCUGGGCAACGGAAACGCUCGUU
rnacentral:lncRNA from 13 species